ACGAACGCUGGCGGCAGGCUUAACACAUGCAAGUCGAACGAUGGCUUCGGCCAUAGUGGCGCACGGGUGAGUAACGCGUGGGAACCUACCCUGAAGUGGGGGAUAACCUCGGGAAACUGAGGCUAAUACCGCAUAUGCCCUGAGGGGCAAAGACUUCGGUCGCUUUAGGGCGGGCCCGCGCCCGAUUAGGUAGUUGGUGAGGUAAAGGCUCACCAAGCCUACGAUCAGUAGCUGGUCUGAGAGGAUGAUCAGCCACACUGGGACUGAGACACGGCCCAGACUCCUACGGGAGGCAGCAGUGAGGAAUAUUGGACAAUGGAGGAAACUCUGAUCCAGCCAUGCCGCGUGAGUGAUGAAGGCCUUCGGGUUGUAAAGCUCUUUCGGGUGUGAAAAUGAUGAUGGUAACACCAGAAGAAGCCCCGGCUAACUCCGU
rnacentral:rRNA from 1 species